rnacentral:misc_RNA from 1 species
AUAAGCUCAUAAAUUUUGGUUCAAUCAGCAAUAGCCGUAAAAAACUGCAUCAAUGUAGAAAGGAGAUAUAUCCAGUUUGAGAAAGCAAUACAACUUCAUCACUCCGUUGACAUAAACCAAAAUUUAAAAAUAAUAUCAAAUUUCACUUUUUCCUAGAGGAGGACAAGGAAAUAAGAUGCCCCAAUACAGGACAAUUGAACAAUACAUAACAAAUAUAAUGUGGGUGUCUAUGUAAUUUCUAAGACUUUGAAAAAAAAUUACAGUGUUUUUGAACAACAAAUAAGAAUACAAAACCCAUACCAAGAAUACAUCAUCUUAAAGACUAAAUGUAGCACCACUAGACACCAAAAAGUGUAAGACAUCAUAACUUCCUUGCCACAUAGCAAACCAUUAAAAGGUGAUCCACCAAUUUAUCAUCCAGUGCAUACAUCAUACACCAUUUCCUGCAAGAUUUGUGAACAAAAUCUUCUUGAUUGGAGUAAAGCCAUCCACAGAGGAGGAAAAGGGGUUGGGGACUUGGGGUCUUCUGGGGAAAGUAGACAAAGCUAGGUUAGGUGUGGCUUUAGUAUGUUAAAUUGCCUUGACUAAAAAUUGGGAGAAUAAGAAUUUUAAAAGACAAG